rnacentral:rRNA from 1 species
UACGGAGGGGGCUAGCGUUGUUCGGAAUUACUGGGCGUAAAGGGCGCGCAGGCGGUCCUUCAAGUCAGAUGUGAAAGCCCCGGGCUCAACCUGGGAACUGCAUUUGAGACUGGAGGACUUGAGGACGGGAGAGGAGAGUGGAAUUCCCAGUGUAGAGGUGAAAUUCGUAGAUAUUGGGAAGAACACCGAUGGCGAAGGCAGCUCUCUGGACCGUUACUGACGCUGAGGCGCGAAAGCGUGGGGAGCAAACAGG